UGGUGGAGCGAUUUGUCUGGUUAAUUCCGAUAACGAACGAGACUCCUCCAUGCUAAAUAGUUACGCGGCCCCUGGCGGUCGGCGUUUCAACUUCUUAGAGGGACAAGUGGCGUUUAGCCACGCGAGAUGGAGCAAUAACA
rnacentral:rRNA from 1 species